rnacentral:rRNA from 1 species
UACAGGGGGUGCAAACGUUGCUCGGAAUUAUUGGGCGUAAAGCGCGCGUAGGCGGCCACUUAAGUCGGAUGUGAAAGCCCCUGGCUCAACUGGGGAAGUGCACCCGAAACUGAAUGGCUUGAAUGCAAAAGAGGGUCGCGGAAUUCCAGGUGUAGCGGUGAAAUGCGUAGAUAUCUGGAGGAACACCGGUGGCGAAGGCGGCAUCCUGGACCGGCAUUGACGCUGAGGAGCGAAAGCCAGGGGAGCAAACGGG